rnacentral:lncRNA from 1 species
UCCCUCUAUUUCUUGGCACUUGUGCACCAGUCACUUUGGAAGGGGCAUCUGUCAUUUCCUCCAGCAGUCUACAAGCCCGAGCUUGUUUUCACAGUCAUCUGGUAGAUGCUCCCAGCAUGAGCAACAUGUCACCUUCUGUCAAAGAGGAGGCAAGGUGGGAAGGAAAGAGAGACAAAGAAGGGAUAAUCAAUUAACAAGGCAAAAGCUUAGAGGCAUGUGGCAAAAGGUAUCCUAAAACAAACAGAUUUACAGCUGCUUGUCAUUCCUAAAAAACACAGAAGGUUGUGUUACAUCAAAAAAUAGUGGUUUUCUUGUGCUCUUGCACAUACAACAUCAUAACAUUAUACAGUAUUAUAGCAUUAUAAAAGCUACUAACUACUGUGUUCAGAGUAAUGCAUGGAGGGGUCUGGGACUGAGUAAAGGACCCGAUUGUUCAGCUGGGCAGCAGAACGUGCCUGCUUGGUUUUGCUUGCCAGUAGUCACAUAACAUCCCUAAGCCCAUGGAUGUGUUGUGAGCACACACUGCCCAUCAGCCCCCGUGGUGAGGGGAAGGAGUGCAUGUAGGGUGGGGCAGAGAGGGACAGUGACAUGGGAGGUUAUGAUGAUCGUUUAACUGAACAAAUUCUAAAGUCCAGAAAGCAAAUUUUGCCUACACAUGGGUCUCAUCCUCUGGAGGGACAAUACCAGCAUACUUGUCCACAAGACUACCUUUUCCUUUUCUUCAUGUUCCCAUUUCUAGAUGUCAGGUUUCUGUUCCAACGUGAAGACAAGGAUGCGGUGUAGCAGGAGCCAUUUAACAGGAAGAGAACUGGGCCCAGAGCCACAAGAAAGGGAUCAUGGGGAGAGCACCAUCCAGUGCUUGCGGAAAAGGGACUGUCAUUGCCUGUCUGCAAAAAGAAGAGAUGUUACUGCCUCUGCAUGUUGUGAGAGAAAGCCAUUGCCAAGAAGAGUGAGAAAGACUGACAAUUAAGACAAAGCAGGAACUGAACCACCCACAAUUUUUUCUUUUGGCAGCGGAGGAGAUGGGAUGUGGUCUACAAGAGGAAAGGUCUCUCCAUCUCACACACUGUCCAUCCACACUGCACUCUGGUUUUCUCUUUACAGAGGGAAUUACUAAAACUAAGAAGAGGAUAAAAACAUCUCUUGCCUACACUUAGGGAAAAUGCCUGCAUUAACAUUUUUAAGGUCGAGACAUGAAGUGAAAGAAAGCGUUACUUUUCAGCAUACAGUAAC